GAUGAACACUAGCGGCAGGCCUAACACAUGCAAGUCGAGGGAGAAGCCCUUUCGGGGGCAGAAACCGGCGCACGGGUGCGUAACGCGUAUGCAACCUACCUUUCACAGGGGGAUAGCCCGAAGAAAUUUGGAUUAAUACCCCAUAAUAUUAUUGGACGGCAUCAUUUGAUAAUUAAAACUGCGGUGGUGAAAGAUGGGCAUGCGUCCUAUUAGCUAGUUGGAGUGGUAACGGCACCCCAAGGCUACGAUAGGUAGGGGUCCUGAGAGGGAGAUCCCCCACACUGGUACUGAGACAGGGACCAGACUCCUACGGGAGGCAGCAGUGAGGAAUAUUGGUCAAUGGUCGGAAGACUGAACCAGCCAUGCCGCGUGCAGGAAGAAUGCCUUAUGGGUUGUAAACUGCUUUUAUAUGGGAAGAAUAAGGUGUACGUGUACAUUGAUGACGGUACCAUAUGAAUAAGCAUCGGCUAACUCCGUG
rnacentral:rRNA from 1 species